rnacentral:rRNA from 1 species
UACGGGGGGGGCAAGCGUUGUUCGGAAUUACUGGGCGUAAAGGGCUCGUAGGCGGCCAACUAAGUCAGACGUGAAAUCCCCAGGCUCAACCUGGGAACUGCGUCUGAUACUGGAUGGCUUGAAUCCGGGAGAGGGAUGCAGAAUUCCAGGUGUAGCGGUGAAAUGCGUAGAUAUCUGGAGGAAUACCGGUGGCGAAGGCGGCAUCCUGGACCGGCAUUGACGCUGAUGAGCGAAAGCGUGGGGAGCGAACAGG